GGGGUUGCUUGAUUUGUACUGCGCAUGUGCAAAUCGAGCAACCCACUUUAAAAGAAUCACGACACUUGUCCUGCGGAUGUGCUCGAUAUCUGGUGAUAUGUGAUAGCAGUAUGGAUUCUUUUGCAUUUGAUGAACAAUUUAAAUAUUAUCUCUUAAAAGGAGAAAUUCCUGACAGCCCUACAGAGCGUCGGAAGAUAAAACGGGCGUCUGCGAAUGAGACCCUCAAAGACUCUUCUACACGGUACAUACGGCUAGUUGUCCUGUCAGAGGAAGAGAAAACAUCUGAUUUUACAGAGUGCCACAAUAACCCAGGACCUGUCAAUCACAGCGGUGUCAGAGUCACUCAAAACAGGGUUAUUGCUGGCUACUAUUGGUCCACAAUAAUCAACGAUGUGAAAGAAUGGGUCAUAUACUACAGAUGUGGUGAGAUCUUGUCACUGCUGCCAGCUGCAUGACCCCAUCAAACUGUUGUGCCAGUCUUGCAUUCCAUUAAGGUAAAAGAAGCUUGGGAGGUGCUCGGUUUACAUUGAUUGAACCACUACCAGAAACAAGUAUGUCCGUACCAUGACUGACCUGUACACCAAGUGGGUGAUUUCAGAACCCAUGCA